UAGGGAAUCUUCGGCAAUGGACGAAAGUCUGACCGAGCAACGCCGCGUGAGUGAAGAAGGUUUUCGGAUCGUAAAACUCUGUUGUUAGAGAAGAACAAGGACGUUAGUAACUGAACGUCCCCUGACGGUAUCUAACCAGAAAGCCACGGCUAACUACGUGCCAGCAGCCGCGGUAAUACGUAGGUGGCAAGCGUUGUCCGGAUUUAUUGGGCGUAAAGCGAGCGCAGGCGGUUUCUUAAGUCUGAUGUGAAAGCCCCCGGCUCAACCGGGGAGGGUCAUUGGAAACUGGGAGACUGGAGUGCAGAAGAGGAGAGUGGAAUUCCAUGUGUAGCGGUGAAAUGCGUAGAUAUAUGGAGGAACACCGGUGGCGAAGGCGGCGCUCUGGUCUGUAGCUGACGCGGAGGCGCGAAAGCGGGGGGAGCAAACAGG
rnacentral:rRNA from 1 species